rnacentral:tRNA from 3 species
GGCGGGGUAGCUCAGAUGGUUAGAGCGCACGACUCAUAAUCGUGAGGUCGCGGGAUCGAUGCCCGCCCCCGCUA